CUGUGCCAUGGCCGGCUGUCAAACACCAUCUCCGCGAAGUUGAAACAUAAACAAAGCCAUGCACCUGUCCGUCAAACUGUCCAGUUCUUACCAUGGAGGCAUCCCACGUGGGAAUGACAGCGAUAUCAUACAGUAAUAGUUAUGGCAUGGUAAAUGAACUGGCUCACAGCCAGGAGUGGCAGGUUGACCUCCUGGUUUUGUAACAAUAUGAUUAUCAUCGCUCUUUAACAAGAUGAUGCUGAAACCCAAGUGGUAUCCAGCUUGAGAUUACAAGGGAAGUAGAUUCAAAAUUCUUUUGAAACAUGGAUAUAAAUUGUAGAAUGGAGUUACAUUUUGCUGAGACAACCAAUCUGGAGGAGAGUGACUUUGUGUCUACCGGUACAGGAUUGUCAGAGACGGCCAAUCUGGAGGAGAGUGACUUUGUGUCUACUGGGACAGGAUUGUCAGAGACGGCCAAUCUGGAGGAGAGUGACUUUGCGUCUACUGGUACAGGAUUGUCAGAGACGGCCAAUCUGGAGGAGAGAGACUUUGAGUCUACUGGUACAGGAUUGUCGGAGACAGC